rnacentral:rRNA from 1 species
GCGGCGGACGGGUGAGUAACACGUGGGUAACCUGCCUGUAAGACUGGGAUAACUCCGGGAAACCGGAGCUAAUACCGGAUAGUUCCUUGAACCGCAUGGUUCAAGGAUGAAAGACGGUUUCGGCUGUCACUUACAGAUGGACCCGCGGCGCAUUAGCUAGUUGGUGAGGUAACGGCUCACCAAGGCGACGAUGCGUAGCCGACCUGAGAGGGUGAUCGGCCACACUGGGACUGAGACACGGCCCAGACUCCUACGGGAGGCAGCAGUGGUCA